CUGGCUAAUCUGUACCUGCGAGCUGGCCUCAAGAACCUGGGCACCGUCUUCCUUAUCACCGAUGCUCACAUUCCUGACGAGAAGUUUCUGGUGCUCAUCAACGACCUCCUCGCCUCCGGGGAGAUCCCAGACCUCUUCCCCGAGGAUGAGGUAGAGAAUAUUGUCUCCUCUGUUAGAAACGAGGUUAAGAGCACAGGGCAGCAGGACACCCGUGACAACUGCUGGAGGUUCUUCAUCGACCGCGUCAGGAAGAACCUCAAGAUGGUUCUCUGUUUCUCACCCGUAGGCUCCACUCUCAGGUAAUGUUAUCGUUGUAUAAGAAAUGUUCCAGCCUUGCUGUGUACCACAGUUGUAAUGUCCAGUAGCUGCAAUGUUCAGUAACUGCAUUGUUCCAGCAUUGUUAUGUCCCAGAUCAGCAGUAUACUAGUAUUGCACUGUACCAGACUUGAAAGGUCCCAGUACCACACUUAAAAGGUCCCAGAGCAGCUAUGUGCCAGAUCUGCAAUGUCACAUAUUAGCAGUUUAGUAGAGUUGCAUUGUGAUUAAGUUGCAAUGUAGUAGAGAUGCAAUGUGUCAGAGUUGCAACCUUCACAGAGCAAUGAUCCAUAAUUGCAGGAGGCAGAGUUGCAUUUUCCCAGAUUUCCAAAGUGGAGAAUUUAUAGCUUAAGAGUUAUGUUGAGCUAGAUGUUAUACAAUAUAUAAAUUGUCGGGUUAUGGCAUAGAAGAAGAGCUUGAGGCACAGGUACAACGAGCGCAGAGGGAACAGAUAAAGAAGAGCGUCUAACAUGGGUAUUGUGACGCAGGGUUCGUGCGCGGCAGUUUCCAGCCAUCAUCAGCUGCACUACUAUUGACUGGUUCCACGAGUGGCCGCAAGAGGCGCUGGUAUCUGUGUCUGAGACCUUUCUGGCGCAAAUUGAGUACCUGCCGGAAGGCCUACGAGAGUCAGUGUCCAAAUUCAUGGCUCACGUCCACGGAUCCGUCAAUGACAUGAGUCGCCUGUACCUCAGCAACGACCGUCGAUACAACUAUACAACGCCCAAAACCUUCCUAGGCUUCAUCUCCCUCUAUUCCAACCUUCUCCGAGCAAAGCACAACGACCUGCAGGCCAAGAUCGAGCGACUCAUGAACGGUCUGGAAAAACUGAGGACCACCUCGGC